CCUACGGGGGGCAGCAGUAGGGAAUAUUGCUCAAUGGGGGAAACCCUGAAGCAGCAACGCCGCGUGGAGGAUGAAGUUUUUCGGAUUGUAAACUCCUUUUUUUAGAGAAGAUAAUGACGGUAUCUAACGAAUAAGCCCCGGCUAACUCCGUGCCAGCAGCCGCGGUAAUACGGAGGGGGCAAGCGUUACUCGGAUGCACUGGGCGUAAAGAGCGCGUAGACGGGAUAGCAAGUCAGAUGUGAAAGCCUAUGGCUUAACCAUAGAACUGCAUUUGAAACUGUCAGUCUGGAGUAUGGGAGAGGUAGGUGGAAUUCCUGGUGGAGCGGUAAAAUGCGUAGAGAUCAAGAGGAAUACUCAUUGCGAAGGCGGCUUACUAGAACGUAACUGACGCUGAUGCGCGAAAGCGUGGGGAGCAAACAGGAUUAGAUACCCGGGUAGUC
rnacentral:rRNA from 1 species